rnacentral:rRNA from 1 species
AACGAACGCUGGCGGCAUGCCUAACACAUGCAAGUCGAACGAGACCUUCGGGUCUAGUGGCGCACGGGUGCGUAACGCGUGGGAACCUGCCCUUAGGUUCGGAAUAACUCCCCGAAAGGGGUGCUAAUACCGGAUAAUGUCUUCGGACCAAAGAUUUAUCGCCUUUGGAUGGGCCCGCGUUGGAUUAGCUAGUUGGUAGGGUAAAAGCCUACCAAGGCGACGAUCCAUAGCUGGUCUGAGAGGAUGAUCAGCCACACUGGGACUGAGACACGGCCCAGACUCCUACGGGAGGCAGCAGUGGGGAAUUUUGGACAAUAGGGGCAAACCCGAUCCAGCCAUGCCGCGUGCGGGAAGAAGGCCUUCGGGUUGUAAACCGCUUUUGUUCGGGAAGAAAUCCUCUGGGCUAAUACCCCGGGGGGAUGACGGUACCGGAAGAAUAAGCACCGGCUAACUACGUG